UACGUAGGGGGCAAGCGUUGUCCGGAAUCAUUGGGCGUAAAGAGCGUGUAGGCGGUCCGGUAAGUCGGCUGUGAAAGUCCAGGGCUCAACCCUGGGAUGCCGGUCGAUACUGCCGGACUAGAGUUCGGAAGAGGCGAGUGGAAUUCCCGGUGUAGCGGUGAAAUGCGCAGAUAUCGGGAGGAACACCUAUGGCGAAGGCAGCUCGCUGGGACGUUACUGACGCUGAGACGCGAAAGCGUGGGUAGCAAACAGG
rnacentral:rRNA from 1 species